GAUGAACGCUGGCGGCGUGCCUAAUACAUGCAAGUCGAGCGAACAGACGAGGAGCUUGCUCCUCUGACGUUAGCGGCGGACGGGUGAGUAACACGUGGAUAACCUACCUAUAAGACUGGGAUAACUUCGGGAAACCGGAGCUAAUACCGGAUAAUAUAUUGAACCGCAUGGUUCAAUAGUGAAAGACGGUUUUGCUGUCACUUAUCGAUGGAUCCGCGCUGCAUUAGCUAGUUGGUAAGGUAACGGCUUACCAAGGCAACGAUGCGUAGCCGACCUGAGAGGGUGAUCGGCCACACUGGAACUGAGACACGGUCCAGACUCCUACGGGAGGCAGCAGUAGGGAAUCUUCCGCAGUGGGCGAAAGCCUGACGGAGCAGCGCCGCGUGAGUGAUGAAGGUCUUCGGAUCGUAAAACUCUGUUAUUAGUGAAGAACAAAUGUGUAAGUAACUGUGCACGUCUUGACGGUACCGAAUCAGAAAGCCACGGCUAACUACGUG
rnacentral:rRNA from 1 species